AGAGUUUGAUCCUGGCUCAGAAUCAACGCUGGCGGCGUGCCUAACACAUGCAAGUCGAACGAGAAAAGGGUAGCAAUACCUGAGUAAAGUGGCGCACGGGUGAGUAACACGUGACUAACCUACCCUGGAGUGGGGGAUAACUGGGAGAAAUCCUAGCUAAUACCGCAUAAUACCCACGGGUCAAAGGAGCAAUUCGCUUCAGGAGGGGGUCGCGGUCGAUUAGUUAGUUGGCGGGGUAAUGGCCCACCAAGACUGUGAUCGAUAUCCGGCCUGAGAGGGCGCACGGACACACUGGAACUGAAACACGGUCCAGACUCCUACGGGAGGCAGCAGUGGGGAAUUUUGCGCAAUGGGGGAAACCCUGACGCAGCAACGCCGCGUGGAGGAUGAAGUCCUUCGGGACGUAAACUCCUUUCGAUCGGGACGAUAAUGACGGUACCGGAAGAAGAAGCCCCGGCUAACUUCGUGCCAGCAGCCGCGGUAAUACGAGGGGGGCGAGCGUUGUUCGGAAUUAUUGGGCGUAAAGGGUGCGUAGGCGGUUUGGUAAGUCUCGUGUGAAAUCUACAGGCUCAACUUGUAGUCUGCACGAGAAACUGCCGGGCUUGAGUAUGGGAGAGGUGAGUGGAAUUCCUGGUGUAGCGGUGAAAUGCGUAGAUAUCAGGAGGAACACCUGUGGCGAAAGCGGCUCACUGGACCAUAACUGACGCUGAUGCACGAAAGCUAGGGGAGCAAACAGGAUUAGAUACCCCAGUAGUCC
rnacentral:rRNA from 1 species